CUCUAAUAUAAUCUAACUCUAACUUUUUAUUUUACUCUACACUACCAUUUUCAUCCAAAUUCUUUUUCACCACCACUUUCAUCCCUCACUACCAAAAAAAUAAUUUAAAAUGGCAUUUAUAUUACGGCGGUUUUAAAAACCGCCAUAAUAUCUAAACAUUAUGGCAUUUUUUGUAGCUGCCAUAAUUAACUUAUAUUUGGUGGCGGUUCUGAAAAUUCUGGCGGUUUUGAACCGCCAUUAUCACGUAGGUAUAAAAGGCAAAAAUUUGCAAUCCCUAAUUCCAGAACCCUUUUAACACUAUGCAUACGGUGGCCUCUGCCUUCUCUCCUUCGUCUAUGUUGCUUCAUCCACUACGCUUUCACCCUCCAGCGUCGCUGUUUCCAACGGAAUCGAAGGUUCCAAGCCACACACGCGCUUUCUUUCCCAUAGUCGCUUCCUCACGUCACGGAACCGCUUUUUGCCGACGUUGUUUCUCCAUAGUCGCUGCCCCUGGCCUGUGCGAUGACGUACGAUCUUCUUUCUCUCCGACGACAAUCUUCUCCAGUGAUAUCUCAUCCAGCGACGACCUCCUUAGGCGACAUCUCCUUCAGCGGUGAUCUCCUUCGAUUGAUUAUAAGGGAUCCACAGAGUUGGGAAACAUUGGCAUUAAUCCAUGGGAUUCCUCUAUUUUGGAAGACCUGAUGAAGAAGAUAAAUCCUACAAUUAAAAAAUUUUAUGGGUAUCACUUGAGCACUAAAUCUUAUACAGGAAAAGUGGCCUUAUCUACUUUGAAGAAUGCAUCAAGGAACAAAGUUAUAGAGAUAGGUUGAACUGGUUAAGCUAACUGGGCAGAAGGUCUCAUCAUCACAUAUAUUAGAAGUCUAUCGUGGAUCCUUAAGCCAGUUGGUCAAGAAACACCGUCAUGAUACUUUGAGCCUUCAUGCUGCUGGGAAGCAUCUAGCUAAGGGUGAGGCUUCUUCCCGAGUAUUGCAUCAUCUUGUUGUAGAGGAUUUUCUUGUGGAGGAGGUUAAAAAAAGUGAUUUUUAUGGAUCCGUAUCAUCAAUAUUGAAGGUAAAUGACCCCAAGGUCCGCAACCUGUUGCUGGGGGCCAGAGAAUUAUACUGAGGUUCCCAUCGUCCAUAAAAGCAUCAAAAUUAGCGAAGUACGAGUUCACUCCAGCUAAAGGAUCUCUGACAUCUGGAAAACAAAAUAGUCAUCAAAUUGAUACUCCUGCUCAGCCCCAAACUCAAGUUGACAUGGCAACUAUUCUUGGUGAAUCUGGAGACAAUGUCUUGGGUCACCACGUAUUCUGUAAUUCUCUGUUGCAGCUGAUGAGCAAGAAAGUACCAAGAACAAAGGAAAAACUCCUUGAACUCAAUGGCAUGAGCAAGUAAGUUCAUUCUACGAAUUAAUCAAAUGUACUGGUUAACUGAGUCGGCAUUCACAGAUGUUUCUGUUUA